rnacentral:lncRNA from 1 species
UCAGGAUCGUAAACGUGCAACAGCUUUAUACCAGGUUCUACCUGCCAGGUGGCUCUCCAGGUGUGUCCUGUGAUUCCCCACGCUCGCCUGCAGGCUGCACUGUUGCCGUGGUUAUCUCCCAGGCUACCACAGCAGGCAAUUCAAACAGGUUGUGUCAACACUGCAGGUAGACACUGAAUCCGCACCAGCCAAGGCUGAAAACGGUUGCAGCCGUGAGAACUGUGGACUCUGAGAAGCAAGGAAAGGAGCCCACUCAGAGCUCCAAGAGUGCGCAUGCGUGGAGGACCACCUACUGAAGCAUGGCUAUCUUUCACGGACACAUUCCUGAAGAAAACAGAUGCUGGUGCCAGGCCAAGGAAAGGACCAGGAACGAGGUUCUCCACACAUCCUCCAUCCGUGCGUUCCAGGGCUCGUGGGUUUGCUUCAGCCAAAACCUCGAACGAGCCACAUCCUUGUGUUCUUGACUGUGAUGAGAUUGCGAGCUAUGUGUAACUUCUCCGAGGGGUCAAACGUGUUAUGUUUGCUCAACAUUGCCCCAGCCUUCUGACACGUGUGAUUACAGAGCAGGAGUGCAGGUGAAGUCAGGACACGGAAAGCGCUGCAUACACAGGCCCCCUCUCAUGGAGGAGGACUGCUUUCUGAAAGCAGGGGCGGCUAAGCAUGUUUCAUCAUACAUGGGUGCCUCGGAACCCAGUUACUGUAAGCUCAGGUCUCUCUCUCUCUUUUUUAAAAU